rnacentral:ncRNA from 1 species
AAAUAAGCUUUGAUAAAGAGGAGUAAAGAUUAAGGAGUAUUAAGAGAGGAAGGUUCACCGGCUGUAAGACCUUCUAUACAAGUGAUCUUGAAGGUAGCUUUGGAGCUUCUUUGCUGAAUUUAGUAGGCAAAGACGGUUUUUCUGAACCGUUAAAGUAUUAAGAGCCUAUAAGGUUAAGCCCUGUAGGAAAAAAGGUGGUACCGCGAGUAUUAUGUCUUCGUCCUUUUA